rnacentral:rRNA from 1 species
AGUGAACGCUGGCGGUAGGCCUAACACAUGCAAGUCGAACGGCAGCACAGUAAGAGCUUGCUCUUACGGGUGGCGAGUGGCGGACGGGUGAGGAAUACAUCGGAAUCUACUUUUUCGUGGGGGAUAACGUAGGGAAACUUACGCUAAUACCGCAUACGACCUACGGGUGAAAGCAGGGGAUCUUCGGACCUUGCGCGAUUGAAUGAGCCGAUGUCGGAUUAGCUAGUUGGCGGGGUAAAGGCCCACCAAGGCGACGAUCCGUAGCUGGUCUGAGAGGAUGGUCAGCCACACUGGAACUGAGACACGGUCCAGACUCCUACGGGAGGCAGCAGUGGGGAAUAUUGGGCAAUGGGCGCAAGCCUGAUCCAGCCAUACCGCGUGGGUGAAGAAGGCCUUCGGGUUGUAAAGCCCUUUUGUUGGGAAAGAAAAGCAGCAGGUUAAUACCCCGCUGUUCUGACGGUACCCAAAGAAUAAGCACCGGCUAACUUCGUG